rnacentral:lncRNA from 1 species
UUCAUAUUCAUUACCAUCACCUCCCAUCAUCCACUUUUAUCACCCAAAAGAAUUUGAGGAAUUGGAUCUCAAAGCAUAACCAAAAGAAACUAUCAAUACAAUCGUUAUAACACGACGAGAGGUUUGCCUUAUUGGCUUCAUAAGUAUCAAGUGCAAGGAGAAUUAAGGGCAACAAGCCAUCGCUACAAGCAAGCAAGUGUUGAAGAAUCUAGUGGAAGUGGGGGAGAUGGAGGCCGAUGCCGGCCGUAGUACUAAUUCAAACAACAAAGUUAGGUCUGGAUGAUUAUUUAUUUUGUUCGAAAAUAAUAUGAAUUUUCAUCAAGUGCAUUUGAAUUAUCAAUUUGAUUUCUUCGUGCUAAUUUUUCCUUUUGCGGAAAAUAUACAUUACUUAAAUAAGUAAGAGGCGGUCAGAUUUUGAUAUUGGAUUUGACUGGAAAUAAUGGCGACAAUGACUCCACCCAUGAAAUUUCUAAUUUUACUCGCAAAUUUGCUUAUAAUACUUCCUCAAGUGGGCUUUCUAUUUGCUCGUUAUUGUGUUUUGAAACUACACAGUUAUCUAAUUUUCAUAUCCCUUGUGCUGGGGUGGUGGUG